rnacentral:rRNA from 1 species
GACGAACGCUGGCGGCGUGCUUAACACAUGCAAGUCGAACGAUGAAGCCGGAGCUUGCUCUGGUGAAUUAGUGGCGAACGGGUGAGUAACACGUGAGUAACCUGCCCUUGACUCUGGGAUAACUGCGGGAAACUGUAGCUAAUACCGGAUACGACCCUCGGAGGCAUCUCCUGGGGGUGGAAAGAAUUUCGGUCAAGGAUGGACUCGCGGCCUAUCAGCUAGUUGGUAGGGUAAAGGCCUACCAAGGCGACGAUCUGUAGCGGGUCUGAGAGGAUGAUCCGCCACACUGGGACUGAGACACGGCCCAGACUCCUACGGGAGGCAGCAGUGGGGAAUUUUGGACAAUGGGGGAAACCCUGAUCCAGCCAUGCCGCGUGAGUGAAGAAGGCCUUCGGGUUGUAAAGCUCUUUCGGCCGGGAAGAAAUCGCACAGGCUAAUACUCUGUGUGGAUGACGGUACCGGCAUAAGAAGCACCGGCUAACUACGUGC